rnacentral:tRNA from 2 species
CUUUUAAAGGAUAAAAGCAAUCCACUGGUUUUAGGAGCCAUUAACUCU